AUACUUACCUGGCAGGGGAGAUACCAUGAUCAUGAAGGUGGUUUUCCCAGGGCGAGGCUUAUCCAUUGCACUCCUUUGUGCUAAUCCCUGUGAUUUCCCCAAAUGUGGGAAACUUGACUGCAUAAUUUGUGGUAGUAGGGGACUGCGUUCUCGCUUUCUCUUG
rnacentral:snRNA from 1 species